rnacentral:tRNA from 1 species
GGUGGCUCAGUGGUAGAGCGCUUGCCUCGCAUGCAUGAGGCCCUAAGUUCGAUUCCUCAGCACCA